ensembl:rRNA 5S_rRNA 5S ribosomal RNA
GCUGCCAGGCAUUCUCUGCCAGCCUCUAUGGUCAUACCAUCCUGAUUCCAGAAUCUAAGCAGCGUCUGGCGUGUCCAGUACUUGGAUGGAAGAUUGCCUGGGAAUACCAGGUGCUGGUUGCU